GUAAGGAAUAUUGGUCAAUGGACGAAAGUCUGAACCAGCCAUGCCGCGUGAAGGAUGAAGGCCCUCUGGGUUGUAAACUUCUUUUAUCUGGGACGAAAAAAGGGUAUUCUUACUCACUUGACGGUACCAGAGGAAUAAGCACCGGCUAACUCCGUGCCAGCAGCCGCGGUAAUACGGAGGGUGCAAGCGUUAUCCGGAUUCACUGGGUUUAAAGGGUGCGUAGGUGGGUAUUUAAGUCAGUGGUGAAAUCUCCGAGCUUAACUCGGAAACUGCCAUUGAUACUAUUUACCUCGAAUGCCCUGGAGGUAAGCGGAAUAUGUCAUGUAGCGGUGAAAUGCUUAGAUAUGACAUAGAACACCAAUUGCGAAGGCAGCUUACUACGGGGUGAUUGACACUGAGGCACGAAAGCGUGGGGAGCAAACAGGAUUAGAAACCCCAGUAGUCC
rnacentral:rRNA from 1 species